rfam:Exophiala dermatitidis NIH/TT8656 unplaced genomic scaffold supercont1.2, whole genome shotgun sequence.
GGCGGCGUGGCCUAAUGGUAAGGCGUUGCUUUCCGGUUACUCUCUGGUGGAGUAUGGCAAAGACUGUGGGUUCGAGUCCCAUCGCCGUCG